rnacentral:rRNA from 1 species
AAGUAUAAUCUGCUCUGUGAAAAUUUUAACGGCUGCAGUAUUUUGACUGUGCUAAGGUAGCAUAAUAAUUUGCCCCUUAAUUAGGGGCUGGGAUGAAUGGUUUGACGAGAAAAAAUCUUUCUAAAUUUUAAAAUUAAAUUUUCUUAAAAGGUCAAAAAGCCUUUAUAAUUUAGUGGGACGAUAAGACCCUAUAAAACUUUUACUCUAAAUUAAUAAAUAUUAUUAUGAAAUUUUUUUUUAUAAAGAGUUGUGCUGGGGCGGCAUUUUUUUAAUUUGAUUACAACUUAUUUUUAAACAAUUUUUUGAAUUUUUUAAACCUAAUUUAAUAAUUAAGAACAAGUUACUUUAGGGAUAACAGCACAAUAUUUUUUUAGAGUUCCUAUCGACAAAAAUGUUUAUGACCUCGAUGUUGAAUUGAGAAUUCUUUAAUGGGCAGUUUCAUAAAAAGAAAGUCUGUU